rnacentral:lncRNA from 1 species
CGAGGAACACGAUCGAAGGCCUAGGAUCGAGGCAAGAUCGAGGGCUAUCUUUGACAUUAUUGACAAAUUAGAGCUUGAGGAGAGGCGAUUUUUGAAAGAUUUUCAAGGAAAACUUGUGGUAAGUCCCUUGUGAUCAUUUCUACUCCAUAAUAUUGAAUUAUCAUCGAAUAAUCCGACUAGAUUACAUAUUUUUGAGGUGUAAAUCGGAGAUUUGAACUUAGAAAUUUAGAAAUAAGAUUUGAUGAUUUGGAGGUCGAGUUGAGGUUGGAUUUUUGUAAAAUUAGUAUGGGUAGACUCGUGGUGGAAUGGGCUUUCGGAUUUUGUAACUUUUGUCGGGUUCCGAGACGUGGGCGAAUUUUGAGCUAAAUUUCGGAUUUUUAUGAAAAAUUAGUAUCUUCUUAUGGAAUUAAUUCUAAUAAAUUUUAUUGACUGAACCGAAUUAUUGUGACUAGAUUCGAGGCACCCGGAGGCCGAUUUGCGAGGCAAAGGCAUAACAGAGUAAAGAAUUUUACGUUUUGAGGUAAGUAACAGUUAUAAAUUUGGUCAUGAGGGUAUGAAACCCCUGAUUUUUGUGUCAUGUUAUUAUUUUGGAGGUGACGCACAUGCUAGGUGACGGGCGUGUGGGUGUGCACUGAAGGGAUCACGACUUGGUCCGUCUCGUGAAACUGUAAAGUUGAAUAACUUGUUGUUAGUUAUAUGCUAUCUUUGUGUUGAAUAAAUUUGACUGUAAAUCAUGUUUAAAAUCAUGCUUAGGCUAUGUGAUAGUACUGUUGGACCCACAGAGGUCGUGUACUUGUUGAAUUAUUUGCUAAUUGUUGUCGUGUACUCAGUCAUAAUUUUACUUGUGCAUCAUACCUCAGUCUUUCUUGAUAUUUGUUGAUUCACUAUGUUAUCUUUGUUUGGGCUGAUCUUUAUGAUUUCGGAGAGCCCGAGAGACAAGAGAGGUUGAGGACUAAGUAAGGCCAAGGGCCUGUCGGUGGGGUAAGGAUAUAUGGCACGUGAUUUGUCCCUGCAGGAUAUUAUAGCACGUGAGUUGUCCGUGCAGAUUAUGACGCUUGGGAUAUAGGAGCCCCUUCAGAGUUUGUACAACCCCAGUGAGCGCGGGUACCCAUUUAGUGUGAGUGCUGAGGGCUGAGAGCUGAGUGGUUGAGCUAUUGUGACGAGUUGAGUGACUGUUGCCUGAGAGGUUGUACUUGCUUUUCAUUUAUUGUGGCAUUUAGUUGCUAUCUGUCAUUAUUGUGAAAUUCUCUGAAAGAUUCUAUAUCCGGAUUACAUGAACAUGAACUGUAUAAAAUUGAUUUGACUUAAACUGUUGGAUUUGAAAGCAUGUCUAUUCUUUGCUGGAAUUACUGUAAGUGAACUAUAACUGUGUAGCUCGUCACUAUCUUCAGUUCCUUAUUUAUUAUUGUUACUUGCUGAGUUAGUUAUACUCAUACUACACCCUGCACUUCGUGUGCAGAUCCAGAUAUUCCCGAACAUAGCGGGUGUUGAUUCUUUCUCACAGUUGAUUUUUCGAAGAUUCUGAGGUAGCUGCCGUGUUUCACAAACCUUGCCUCUCCUUCCCUAUCUCCUUAUUUAUUGUAUUUGGUCUUAGACUAUUAUAGACCGUAUUUUCCAGACUUGUAUUCAUAUUAGAUGCUCAUGUACUCAGUGACAUCGGGUUUAGGGAGUAAUUAUAUUUGUACUUGUGAGAUUUCUUUCGCUAAAUUAAAUCAUUAUGUUUUCUCCGCUGUUAGAAGUAGAUCUCAUUGGGUUAGUUUCUCUCUAUUUCUUAACUUAUAUAUUGAUACCUUUUUAUAUGUAUAACACCACCUCUCUGCCAACAAUCUUUGAAACGCUCUAUCCCCUCCCCAACAGUCAAAAACCAGAACACACACUCACAGGCAGCCGGCGACCACCCCACGCUGGCAACCACCCCCACCGGCAGGUAAGCCCCCCUCCCCCUUCAUCUCUCACGCCUCCCCUUCCUCUCUCUCCUCUUUAUUCUUUCCCACUUCCCCACUCCCAUACUUAUUAGAUCAACAACACUGCCGGCGACUGCUGUUUCGCCGGGCAGCAAUAUUAGCCCUUUUCCCUCUUGCUUUUCUUCUUCAUUUUUAAUUCUUAGUUGCGGGUAACCCCCCCCCCUGCCUUUCUCUGCUCCUUUCCUCUUCAUUACCUUUUAUUUGCGCUUUUUUGUUACGGUUGGGACUUCACCCGUGGUAGCGGUGACAGCCCCUCCCCCUUUGUUUGGCUUUGUAGUGUUUUGUGUGUAUUUCAAGUUAGGCUCGGUGGCUUUUGGCGGUGAGCGGGACGUGCGUGUACAAACAGUGAAGAACAGUCCGGGCGACUGUCAAUAAAGGGUGACGCGGGAGUUGGACGUGAACGUGCAAGGUGGUCGCAAUGCCGCCGUGUAGACCAAAACAAUUCCAGGUUCUAAUUGCGGGAGUUGGUACCUCCCAUUUUGUUGUUUCCCUUCGUUGUGUUAGUUAAAUUGCUGCCAUCUUAGUUCGUAUUAGUUUAAUCACCAUAUUAGCGUGCCUGUAGUUACAAUAUAUCUUCUUCUACUCUGGUCUGUUGCUUAGUGUGUGUUAGUGAU